GUUGAGUGGGAAUAAAGAGCCAACACAAAUUGAAUUGAGAACGCCCAUUUAACAGCGUUUAUUGUGAUUAUAAAGUGGAUAAAACUGCUUAAUUUUAUAUGGUUUCCUGCCAAAAACCCUGCCAAACUUUCUAUGUUUAGCAGGGUUAUUUUG
rnacentral:sRNA from 1 species